rnacentral:rRNA from 1 species
CGACCGGCGCACGGGUGCGUAACGCGUAUACAAUCUACCUUUUACAGAGGGAUAGCCCAGAGAAAUUUGGAUUAAUACCUCAUAGUAUUAUAAAGUGGCAUCAUUUAAUAAUUAAAACUUCGGUGGUAAAAGAUGAGUAUGCGUUCUAUUAGCUAGAUGGUAAGGUAACGGCUUACCAUGGCAACGAUAGAUAGGGGUCCUGAGAGGGAGAUCCCCCACACUGGUACUGAGACACGGACCAG